CACGCCGUAAACGUUGAGAACUAAGUGUUGGGGAGACCCAGUGCUGAAGCUAACGCAUUAAGUUCUCCGCCUGAGGAGUACGCACGCAAGUGUAAAACUUAAAGGAAUUGACGGGGGCCCGCACAAGCAGUGGAGCAUGUGGUUUAAUUCGAAGCAACGCGAAGAACCUUACCAGGGCUUGACAUCUCCUGCCAACUGUAGAAAUACAGCCUUCCCUUUUGGGACAGGAAGACAGGUGG
rnacentral:rRNA from 1 species